UUAUUUUCAAAGUUGUUGCGUGUCAACUUGUUAUUAUUUUUAGCUAAAUGAAUUAAAGUAAUUUACAGUCGUAGAAUUCAACGUAUUAUAUUUAUUUCAUUAAUUAUUAAUAUAAAAUGUUUUAUUUUUUGUAAUCUUUUACAGUGUGAUACUUUUUAAAACAAUUUCCAACGUGAAGAAAAGGAUGUCUUUCGCAUGUUUCGCAGAAAUAAACAUUUGUCUUCCUUUCGCCCUUAGCUUUUCUGUUAGAACAGACCAUACAAUCAUUAUGUUUUUUUCCCGGAUGAGGUACUAAAAUGUGGAGUUUUCCAUCAAGUCGAUUCUCUACAUCUGAUGUUGAUUCCGUGCACGACUUGCACUCGAUUAACAAAACUUGACAAAUUAUAACUGUGUAAGAUCUCGAAUACCGUAUGUAUUUUACAGUUAUUUAGUGCUAUUGGUUACAGGCAUACAUUAGUAUUGUCACCUCCAGUGUGACAUACGAGUUGUAGAGUAAAUUAGUAUUGUCACCUCCAGUGUGACAUACGAGUGCAAAGGGUUAAGGCUUCUAGCACCGCAAAAUUCUUCACAAUUUCGUCUUGUCAAUAUUUCCUAUUUUAUACUUUUGAACUCUUAACAGGGCAAUUAGGUGUCACUGAAGUUCACACCAAAAUUUUAUACAGUUCGCCCUUUAGGAAAGAUUACUAUGAAAUUCUCCGGCAUUUGCUGAAUUUUUACGCGAAAACAUCCAAUAACUUCGUUUUCUUAAUUGGCGCGAUAACUACUUAAGCGAUUUUAGUGAAGUUUAACAAAAUGCGUCAAUCGUUUCUUUCUCGUGCUAAUCGGCGGCGGUCGGAAACACCAAAUGAAGGCCAGACCUUCCUCUUCCUCUGCUCCAUCAUCUCAUCUGGUACCACAUCGUAACAGUCAAUAUCAGGCAUCGAAAUUCUCAUGAAAUAAAUGUUAAAGUACAAAGUCAUGAGCCCUCGGAUCCGUGGGCUCGAUGUAAGGUUUAUGCGCUUCCCCAAGUUGCUGGUAACAGAUGCUUAAAAAACCUUUUCUCCUGUGUUCUUCACCGCCCUACACUCCAUGGUAACUCCAUGGUAGAAACAAAGCAAAAAAUUACCUUGUGGAAUGAUGUUUAUUAUGGUUUCAUAAGUCCCUUAUAUCCAAAUAUAUUUACCAACAUAAAUAGCAAACGAAAACACUUAAAUCCCACACUAUACAAUACUAAAAAAAAUUU